AUGAAUAAAAUUAUAUUUUAUUGAUGAUAAUAAGGAAAAUGCCCAACAAUGUUUCACUUCUCCCUUAGGCAUAGAAGAAGUAUUUUUCUUAAAAUGAAAAAUAAGUUACUUCAAACGGUGCAUAACAACAAAACAUCAGCAACAACCCAAUUGUUGCAAGUCUGGCCGUGUGUUACAAAGUUGUCACGAACUUUGUCUUCGUCACUAUCUUCAAUAAUGGUAGUUGAGUGUUGAUCAUUGUAGCGGUAAAUUCAUGACCAUCAAGCU
rnacentral:lncRNA from 1 species